UAAUAGUGUAUAUUAAAGUUGUUGCAGUUAAAAAGCUCGUAGUUGAAUGUUGGUGUCGAACGAGCGGUCAGCUUCGGCUGUACUGCUCUCUCGACUCCUUCCUUCUGUGGACUACGUCGCACUUUACUGUGUGGCGCUAGGACGCAGAUCGUUUACUGUGAAAAAAUUAGAGUGUUCAAAGCAGGCCGUACGCUUGAAUACAUUAGCAUGGAAUAAUGGAAUAGGACGUCGGGCCUAUUUUGUUGGUUCUAGGACCAUCGUAAUGAUUAAUAGGGACAGUUGGGGCCGUUUAUAUUCCGUAGUCAGAGGUGAAAUUCUUGGAUUUACGGAAGAUAAACUACUGCGAAAGCAUUCGGCAAGGAUGUUUUCGUUAA
rnacentral:rRNA from 1 species